GACGCCGCGUGGGGGAGGAAGCUCUUCGGAGUGUAAACCCCUGUCAGGAGGGAAGAAUGGGCACUCUAGGAAAUGGGAGUGUUUUGACGGUACCUCCAAAGGAAGCACCGGCUAACUCUGUGCCAGCACCCUCGGUGACUGAGCGGGCUGGCAAGGCGCAUA
rnacentral:rRNA from 1 species